CCUACGGGGCGCAGCAGUGGGGAAUAUUGCACAAUGGGCGCAAGCCUGAUGCAGCCAUGCCGCGUGUAUGAAGAAGGCCUUCGGGUUGUAAAGUACUUUCAGCGGGGAGGAAGGCGAUAAGGUUAAUAACCUUGUCGAUUGACGUUACCCGCAGAAGAAGCACCGGCUAACUCCGUGCCAGCAGCCGCGGUAAUACGGAGGGUGCAAGCGUUAAUCGGAAUUACUGGGCGUAAAGCGCACGCAGGCGGUCUGUCAAGUCGGAUGUGAAAUCCCCGGGCUCAACCUGGGAACUGCAUCUGAUACUGGCAAGCUUGAGUCUCGUAGAGGGGGGUAGAAUUCCAGGUGUAGCGGUGAAAUGCGUAGAGAUCUGGAGGAAUACCGGUGGCGAAGGCGGCCCCCUGGACGAAGACUGACGCUCAGAUGCGAAAGCGUGGGGAGCAAACAGGAUUAGAUACCCCUGUAGUC
rnacentral:rRNA from 1 species